UGAAGUCUGCCCGAAGCACGUAGUGUUUGAAGAUUUCGGUCCUAUGCAAUAUGAACCCAUGAACCAUGUCAGGUCCUGACGGAAGCAGCAUUAAGUGGAUCCUCAUAUGUGCCGUAGGGUAGCCGAGAUUUAGCUGUCGACUUCGGUAACGUUUAUGAUAUGCGUUCGAUACAAAGGUGCAUGG
rnacentral:SRP_RNA from 1 species